rnacentral:hammerhead_ribozyme from 1 species
AUCCAGCUGACGAGUCCCAAAUAGGACGAAAUGCGCAAUAUCCUGGAU